AAAAUUGAUUUCAAUUAAAGUGAUUUGAAAACAGCUUACUCCGCCUUUACUAACACCUUUAGCCGUUUUUGCUCUUAGCCACUUUUCGCUGUUUAUGGUUUUUCCAGGGUCGACAUUUAAGUGCAAAUCAAUCAAAAGGACUUAACGGAGGCACCAGUUGAUCAUGGCUGAAUACAACGAUAAAAUUAAAGAAUUUUGGUCUCAAGGCUAUACCGUGUUACCUGAUUUUCUGUCCCCAUCAGAAGUUGACAAUGUUUUAAAAGAGACUAAACAAAUUGUUGAUACUCUGGACCUCGAUGAACACCGGAAUGUUUUCAAAAUUGGAAAAAGUAAACAAGGUGAUGACUACUUUCUUGACUCAAGUGAUAAAAUAUCGUUCUUUUUCGAGCAGAAAGCUAUUGAUUCUGACGGAAACCUUACAUGCCCUCACAGCCAGUGUUUAAACAAAAUAGGACAUGCUUUACAUGCAUUGAAUCCUGUUUUCAAAGCAAUUACGUUUGAUGAUCGAAUUAAAAGCAUCCUAAAAACCUUAGGAUGCGUUGAACCCCAUGUUAUCCAGAGUAUGGUCAUUUUCAAACACCCUCAUAUUGGUGAUGAGGUUUCACCUCACAAAGAUGCAGAAUUCCUGUACACUGAUCCAGUCGAUAAGCUUACGGGAUUCUGGCUUGCUCUUGAGGACGUUACUAUUGAAAAUGGGUGUCUUUGGUUCAUUCCAGGUUCACACAAGGAGCCUGUAACACAAAGAUUUGUUAGAAACAAGGAUGAUUCAGGACCGAGAGCAUCAUUCAAUGUUCCUAAGGCUAAAUAUGAUGAUUCAAAGUUCGUUCCUCUCAAAGUUUCCAAGGGAUCACUAGUACUUCUCCAUGGUUUAGUUGUUCAUAAAAGUGGGUCUAAUACAUCACUAUCACCUAGACCUGUUUACACAUUUCAUGUUGUCGAUUUUCAUAAAACACAAUGGUCACCAGAUAACUGGCUUCAACCUACAGAAAAGCUUCCUUUUUGUCGAGUCUAUUGAUACAUAGAAGAAUGAAGGCGUAUAUCAAUUUUUUAUUAUAAAUUCUUUAAAAUUGAGUUUGUUAGUCUCAAUAGAUUCAGAGAUUAACCCAAUAUACAUAUGCAUUUACAAGAUUAAUUUUUAAGAUAUAUUUUUCUAAUCCAUCAUAUGAAAACUCUAAAAGCAUUAACACAGUUUAGUUUCUUAGUAUCGUGAUAUUAUGCUGUGAAAGCUACAAUAAACGUUUAAAGUUGGACUGUUGCAUUGUUUAGUAUCUGAAACUUGAAUUUCAAGAAAUACAUCGGACUGAUGGCUGUAGAGUAAAUUAUUAAUAUACUUUAAUGAAAGGAGCUUCUUUCGUAGGUUGAUUCCAGUUGUCUGAUGCCCAUUUUGUGUCAUGUAAAUCGACUGCAUGGAAAGUGUAAGCUGGUCGAGGUUUGUUUGAAGUAUUGGCUUCACUUUUAUGAACAACUUGUCCAUGGAGGAUCACUAAAGAUCCCUUUGAAACUGGAACAGCUUUAUAUUU